rnacentral:rRNA from 1 species
UACGUAUGGAGCAAGCGUUAUCCGGAUUUACUGGGUGUAAAGGGAGCGCAGGCGGCUUUGCAAGUCUGAUGUGAAAGGCCGGGGCUCAAUCCCGGGACUGCAUUGGAAACUGUAAAGCUAGAGUGCCGGAGAGGUAAGCGGAAUUCCUAGUGUAGCGGUGAAAUGCGUAGAUAUUAGGAGGAACACCAGUGGCGAAGGCGGCUUACUGGACGGCAACUGACGCUGAGGCUCGAAAGCGUGGGGAGCAAACAGG